UGGGCUAUUCCAGGGAUGUGGAUGUGAAC
rnacentral:piRNA from 1 species